UUCAUUUAUUUACCUUAGUUAUUUUAGAAUUUAAUAGCAUGAGUUUUGAUAGUUCUUUCAUAUUAUCAGGUGGAGUACUUGGAUAUUACCACAAUUUAUAGUCUUGGGUACUAAUAAGAGGAUUUUUAGAGUCCUAGGCUUCCAUGUGUUAGUGGGAUGUAUCAGUCAAAAGCUUGGACGUUUGGAUUAUUUAUUGUUGCAUGGUUGUGUCAUUCUUUGCUUCUCAUCGGAGCUCAGAAUCCGAUUACCAACCCCGAAGAAGUGAGGGCUUUGAGGGCCAUCAAGAGCAGUUUGAUAGAUCCUAAUGGGAAUCUGAGUAAUUGGGAUCAAGGAGACCCAUGUACAUCAAUUUGGACAGCGGUUUUUUGCUACAAUACAACAUUAGACGAUGGAUAUCUACAUGUUCAACGAUUGGUACUACUGCAUAUGAAUUUGUCUGGAACUUUAUCACCAGAGCUUGGCCGCUUAUCAAAUUUGAAAAUAUUGGAUUUUAUGUGGAACAACAUCAGUGGGAGUAUACCAAAGGAGAUAGGCAGUAUUACCUCUUUGGAACUCUUGCUUUUGAAUGGAAACCAAUUAACAGGUCCCUUACCAGAAGAGCUUGGUUAUCUUCCAAACAUGGACAGAAUACAAAUUGACCAAAACCAAAUAUCGGGGCCACUACCUAAAUCAUUUGCAAACUUGAAUAAAACGAAGCACUUUCACAUGAACAACAAUUCGAUCAGUGGGCAAAUCCCGCCUGAGUUAUCCAGAUUACCAAGUCUUGUUCACUUGCUUCUCGAUAAUAACAACUUAUCAGGAUAUCUUCCAGAAGAGUUCUUCAAACUGCCAAAUUUACAGAUACUUCAAUUGGAUAACAAUAACUUCAAUGGGACUACAAUUCCUGCUAAUUAUAGCAAAAUGUCUAAACUGCUGAAGUUGAGCCUUAGGAACUGUAGUUUGCAAGGACCAAUUCCUGAUUUUAGCCAAAUACCAAACCUCCUUUAUCUAGACCUUAGUUCAAAUCAGCUAAAUGGAACCAUACCUCCAAAUAGGUUUUCUGAAAAUAUCACGACUAUUUUGUUAUCCCACAACCAUCUUACUGGAGCAAUUCCCUCCAACUUUUCAGUUUCGGGUCUUCAUGAUCUUCAAAGACUGUCCAUUGCAAACAAUUUAUUGAGUGGCUCUGUUCCAUCCUUCAUUUGGGAAAAUAGGGCUUUGAGUGGAAUGGAGAAACUAACAGUGGAUUUGCAGAAUAAUAAGCUUUCAAAUAUUUCAUUUACGGGCACUGCUUAUCUACCUCCAAAUGUCACUGUCUGGCUUAAAGGGAAUCCCUUAUGCUCAAACUCCAAGCUAGCCCAGUUUUGUGUAUCUCAACCCAAGGAUAAAAAUAACAGUCAGAGUUCAACAAAUAUCACUUCUGUUUGUCUGGCUCAAGCAUGCCUACCCCCUUAUGAAUAUUCACCUACAUAUCCAGUAGAUUGUUUCUGUGCUUCUCCUUUGUUUGUUGAAUAUCGGUUGAAAAGCCCUGGAUUCUCAGAUUUUCGUCGGUACAGACAUACGUUUGAGAAAUUCCUGACUUCUACUCUUAACUUGUUUCAUUAUCAGCUGUACAUUGAUUCAUUUGAAUGGGAAGAAGGACCUCGACUGGGAAUGCAAUUGAAGUUUUUUCCUGUAUAUGAUGCUGAAAACAGCACACGUCUUUAAUAGGAGUGAGAUUCAGAGAAUCUUUGAUAUGUUCACAUCAUGGAAAAUUACUAAUUUUGACAUUUUUGGACCUUAUGAAAUUAUCAGCUUCUCUCUACUGGGCUUCCAUAAAGAUGAUGGUGCCAACUCUCCAAGUUCUGGUUUAAGCAAAGGUGCACUGGCUGGCCUAGUACUGGGAACCAUUGCAGGUGCAGUUACAUUGUCUGCAGUUGUUAUUCUUCUGAUAAUGAGAAUGCAUGUGGGGAAUUACCAUUCACUUCCAAGAAGACAUCAUUCAUCUACGCGCUCCAUAAAAAUUGUUGGGUUGAAGGAUUUCACUUAUAGAGAAAUGGCCGUAGCUACAAACAACUUUGAAAAGUCCACACAGGUUGGAGAAGGAGGGUAUGGUAAGGUUUAUAAAGGCAUUCUAGCUGAUGGUACAGUUGUGGCCAUAAAACGUGCACAAGAGGGAUCCUUACAGGGUGUAAAGGAGUUCUUGACAGAGAUAGAAUUUUUGUCAAGGUUACAUCAUCAAAACCUUGUGUCUUUGAUUGGAUAUUGUGAUGAAGAAGGUGAACAGAUGUUGGUCUAUGAGUUUAUGUCAAAUGGUACUUUAAGGGAUCACCUUUCUGCUAAGUGUAAAGAACCUUUGAGUUUUACAAUGAGAUUGAGAAUUGCCCUGGGAUUGGCCAAGGGCAUCCUCUAUCUACAUACUGAAGCCAAUCCUCCUAUAUUUCACCGAGAUAUCAAGGCUAGCAACAUAUUAUUGGACUCUAAGUAUAUGGCAAAAGUUGCUGAUUUUGGACUUUCACGACUUGCACGAGUUCCAGAUAUUGAAGGGACAGUGUCUGCUCAUGUAUCCACUGUUGUGAAGGGGACGCCAGGUUACCUUGAUCCAGAGUAUAUCUUAACUUGUAAACUAACAGACAAGAGUGAUGUUUAUAGCCUUGGUGUUGUAUUUCUUGAACUGCUGACUGGGAAGCAGCCAAUCUCUCAUGGCAAAAACAUUGUUAGAGAGGUCAAUGUUGAGUAUAAAUCUGGUAUGAUCUUUUCGGCCAUUGAUGGGCGAAUGGAAUCUUAUCCUCCUGAAUGUGUGGUGAAAUUUUUAAAUUUGGCUCUCAAGUGUUGUGAAGAUGAGACAGAUGCUAGACCUUCAAUGGCAGAGGUGGAUCGAGAACUUGAAAGUAUAUGGCAUCUGAUGCCUGAUUCCUACAUUAGAUCAGCAGGUCCUAUGGUGACUAAUGCUGAAAAGGUUGCGACUCCACUAUCGUCAUCCUCCAUAGUGAAGGAUUCUUAUGUGUCGUCAGAAAUAUCUACCAUUGAACUUGUUAGUGGAGUCAUUCCAUCCAUUACACCUAGAUAAAAAACUUUUUGAAAAUAAUGUUGUAUAAGAACUUGAGAUGUUAUGAUCUCGAAACUUUGAAUUGGGAAAUGGUAUUUACAAUCAUCUUGGUUGUUGAUGUGUAAA